AUUGAACGCUGGCGGCAGGCCUAACACAUGCAAGUCGAGCGGAGCGGCGGACGGGUGAGUGAGGCCUAGGAAUGUGCCUGGUAGUGGGGGAUAACGUCCGGAAACGGGCGCUAAUAUUGCAUCCUAUCAGAUGCGCCUAGGUCGGUAUAGCUAGUUGGUGGGGUAAAGGCCUACCAAGGCGACGAUCCGUAACUGGUCUGAGAGGAUGAUCAGUCACACUGGAACUUGGACACGGUCCAGACUCCUACGGGAGGCAGCAGUGGGGAAUAUUGGACAAUGGGCGAAAGCCUGAUCCAGCCAUGCCGCGUGUGUGAAGAAGGUCUUCGGAUUGUAAAGCACUUUAAGUUGGGAGGCGUUACCAACAGAAUAAGCACCGGCUAACUUCGUGCCAGCAGCCGCGGUAAUAC
rnacentral:rRNA from 1 species